UUGUCAACAAUUCCCCCAUUUUACGUUUUACGUUUCAAAAGGAUUUAAAUAAUUACCGAUCUCUGUGGACACGACCCUGCUCAAUCACUAUACACAAUUUAUUUAGAGUAGGAAUUUAUUUUUGUUGGCUUCGACAACCAUCAAAUUUUGGCGCCGUUGCCGGGGAUUGGUGUCAUUUAUUUAAUCCUUUUUACGUUUUACUUGGUGUAUGGUUCGUUCUUCUCGUACAGGUACACUUUCGUUUGAUCCUGAAAUUGAGAAGACAGCUCGCCAGCUGAGACAGCAGACGAAGCGAGCUAAGCAACGAUCCUCGUCGCCUUUGCUUUCUGAAACAGAUACGGUGCCUGAUUUAGUUGAAUCAUCUAGCGAUUCAGAAGAACAAGUGAUGGAUAGACCUGCACCUGUAGAAAGAACUCUUAGAGAGUUAGCUGAACCAGACUUGAAUCAACAACCACUCUGCAUUCAAUAUGUAGACUUGGAGGUAAAUUUUGAAUUAAAGUCUGGUCUUAUUCAUUUAUUACCCAAGUUUCAUGGUUUUGCAGGUGAAGAUCCUCAUAAACAUCUUAAGGAGUUUCAUGUUGUGUGUUCAAGUAUGAGACCACAAGGUGUGACUGAAGAGCAGAUUAAGCUGCGUGCUUUUCCGUUCUCUGUAGAUGGGCUAGCUAAAGAUUGGUUGUACUACUUGCCUCCUGGAUCAAUUACAACGUGGAAUGGUUUGAAGAAGCAGUUCCUUGAGAAGUACUUUCCUGCUUCAAGAGCUGCCAACAUCAGAAAAGAUAUUUGUGGGAUCAGACAACUUCCUAGGGAGACUUUAUAUGAGUAUUGGGAGCGAUUCAAACAAUUGUGUGCCAGCUGUCCUCAGCAUCAAAUUUCUGAUCAACUUCUUAUUCAAUAUUUUUACGAAGGACUGUCAUUGAUGGAUAGGAGUAUGAUAGAUGCUGCUAGUGGAGGCGUGUUGGUGAACAAGACCCCUACUCAAGCAAGGGAGUUGAUAUCAAAUAUGGCUGCCAAUGCACAACAAUUUAGCAGCAGGCAAGAGCUCACUUCAAGGAAAGUGAAUGAGGUAAAUAUUUCUUCUGUUGAACAACGUUUAGAUAAACUUACUUCUCUUGUGGAAAAGUUUGUUGUAGGUAAUGUGCAGCAGGUGAAGACUUGUGGUAUUUGUUACAAUAUGGGUCAUUCAACUGAUAUGUGUCCUACACUUCAAGAAGAACCCGUUGAACAAGCCAAUGCAGUUGGAGGAUUUCCAGGCAUGCCUCAGAGGAGGUAUGAUCCUUAUGCACAAACAUACAAUCCGGGAUGGAAGGAUCAUCCCAACUUCAGCUAUGGAGUUAGGCAGUCAGGAUUCCCACAACAGUAUCCACCAAGACAACCAGCACCUCCACAGUCAAACUCCAAGUCAGGUAUAUCUCUCGAAGAAAUUGUUAAAUCACUUGCGACUAACACACAACAAUUUCAGCAGGCAACUACAGCAAGCAUUCAGAACUUGGAGAACCAAAUGAGUCAAUUGGCGACUACAGUGAGCCGUCUGGAGUCUCAAGUAUUAGGGAGAUUGCCUUCACAAUCUGAGGUGAAUCCAAAGCAAAACGUUAGUGCUGUCAUCCUUAGAAGUGGGAAAGAGUUGCAAGAGCCUAGUAAGAAAGUGACAAAGUAUGUAGAAGAUGAGCUUGAGAAGAAUGAAUUGAUGCCUCAAUCUCAAGAUGCGCAACCCACAAGAGCGAAACCCCUACCUAUUGUGAUACCUCCUCCUUUUCCAAGCCGGUUUGCAAAAUCCAAAAAGGAGGAACAAGAGAAAGACAUCCUUGAGACAUUUCGCAAGGUUGAGGUAAAUAUUCCUUUAUUAGAUGCUAUAAAACAAAUACCUCGAUAUGCUAAAGUCCUUAAGGAACUGUGCACCUCCAAGAGAAAAUUAAGAGGAGAUGAAAAAGUUCACAUGGGGGAGAAUGUUUCAGCAGUUCUCCAAAAGAAAUUACCUCCUAAGUGCGAGGAUCCAGGUAUGUUUACUAUCCCUUGUAAAAUUGGUAGUGUUAGAGUUGAAAAGGCUUUGUUAGAUCUAGGAGCUUCUAUUAAUGUCAUGCCUCGUUCCAUUUAUUCAUCUUUGAAUAUUGGUCCAUUAAAAGAAACUGGUGUGAUAAUUCAACUAGCUGACAGGUCUAAUGCAUAUCCUGAUGGGGUAUUAGAAGAUGUCUUAGUACAAGUUAAUGAGUUGGUUUUUCCUGCUGAUUUUUAUGUACUUGAUAUGGAAGAUGAUAACUCCUCUAAUUCUGUCCCAAUUUUGCUAGGAAGACCUUUUCUUAAGACUGCUAGGACUAAAAUGGAUAUACAUAAAGGGACUCUCACUAUGGAGUUUGAUGGAGAGGUUAUAGAAUUCAAUAUGAAUGAUGCCAUGAAAUAUCCUAGUGAGGAACAUUCGGUAUUUUCUGUGGAUGUUAUUAACCCUAUAGCGCAGGAAAUUUUUUACAAGGAAAAGACGAAGACAUUUCAUGAUAGAAUGAUUUUGAGAAAGGAGUUCUCUGCUGGUCAAAAAGUUCUUCUUUUUCAUUCUAAACGUAAACUUUUUCCGGGUAAAUUACGUUCUUGUUGGGUUGGACCUUUUAUUGUUACUAAUGUUUUUCCUCAUGGUGCAGUUGAGAUUCGGAGCCCGACCUCUGACAGAGUUCUUAAGGUUAAUGGUCAUCGCUUAAAACCUUUUUAUGAAGGUUUUUCGGUGAAUAUUGUGGAGGAUGUGGCUCUCGAAAGUCCAAAUUAUGGAGAUUGAUGCAUAAAUGUGUCUAGCCAAAGACAUAAAACAAAGGCGCUUUUUGGGAGGCAACCCAAGUGAUUUAUUUAUUUUGGUUUUUGUUAUAUCUUCUUUUAAUUUUGAUUCAAAUUUUUUUUAAAUAAUGUGUUUGCUUAUUUUGGUCAGAAGAAAAUUUUUGAUAAGGCGUGCCCACGUCUUAACUAAUAAGUACUUCUGUAAUUUUUAAAGUAAAAUAGUUUUAAGGCGUGCCCACGUGCUUAUUAGAAAAGUACUUCUGAAAUUUUUAGUGUCUCAAAGUGAUUCAUCACUAAAAAAAUAAUAAUAAUAAUAAUAAAUUAAUUUUAAUUGAUUUUAUUUCAUUUUAUUUUAUUUAUUUAUUUCUUUUGUUCUUUCUUUUAUAUAUAUAUAUUUUUUUUUAUUUAAAAAAAAUCAAAAAAAAAAUCAUUGUUAAAAAAAAAAAAAAAUUUUACUGUUCACAAAAUCCCUAAUUUUCCAGAAAUUGUUUUCUUCUCCAGCCGUUUGCAGCACGCCAGCAGCAAACCAGCCAGCCGGAGAAUGCAGCAUCAGUCGCGCGCAACGCAGCCACGCAGACAGCAUCCUGCACGCAACCAGCAGUGCGCAACCAGCCCCAAGCCGCGCAGCAAGCUCCAGCCGAGCACGCAACGCAACAAGCGUCACCAGCGCGCGCACCAGCAAUCCCCCAGCGCGCAGCAACAGCCGCAGCACGCAGAUCCAGCGUCACCAGUUCGCAGCAUCAGUCCCAUCCGCGCGCAACUGAACCACCAGCCGUGUACCCGCAAGCUCCAGUCGAGCAGCAAUAGUCCGCAACCAGCCUACGACCUGUAUUCCAGCCGCGUGAAUCGAAAUCCGUGACAAGAUGGAGCAGAAUUUGGCCGCAUACUUCAAGAGUGUGGGAUUUAUCCCACCAUUCCCGCCAAGCCCAUAGACGUUAUGAGGAUCAAAGCUCACAAUUCAGGGAAGUUUUUGCCUUUAAUCUUUUAUCCUUACGCUUUAAUUUUUAUGUGAGCUUUGAUUAUCUUACAUUGGGGACAAUGUAAGUUAUUGGUGUGGGGGAGGGAUUUUUGCAUUAUUGAUGCCUGGAAUUAUUAUUUUCACUCUACUCAUCUAUUUUCAUUAUACUCAUCCUUAAAUGAUUUUGGAGUUAGUAUGCUUCAUAUAUUAUUAUUUUUCUUUUCUUUUCUUUCUCAUUACUUUUUUCCCAUCUAUCUCAAAUUAUUUACAUCUAUUUUUAUUCUAUCAUACUCUCUCAUCACUCACAUUUUAUCUUUCACUUUUCAUAUUACUACAUACAUCUUUCUCACUUCUUAUCAUUUUUACCUUUCCUUCACUCAUACCUUCUUCCCAUUCUACACCACUAUUGAUGGUUGAUUCAUUUGAAGAGUGUACAUGAUUUGAUGGCAAAUUUACCAACUUUGUGAGGAUUUGAGCCUAUGAGCAACCACUUUGCUCUAAUUAUUUUUAUUAUGUGAAUAUCAAUCUUAGUUUGUUUAUUCUAGAACUUACUUUGUUAUGCAUGUUGAAGCCACAUUACGGGAUUUUUUUCAUUAAAAUGAUAAGGGCAAACCAUUUACCAUUUUUCUAUUCUUGCAUUUUCUUUUUUUUUCUCUACCCGAAGACCUUGAUUUACUAUCUUUGUUUGAGCCUUAACCAUUACCCAUCUAAUUCUCUCCGUCUACUUAACCAUUUUUCUUCUUUUUGAGCCUCAAUUUAAGGAGAUUUUUGGACUCAUUGUGUGGAUAUAUUUUGUUGCUUUUUCUACCUUGUAAUAAAGUUUCUCAAUUAGAUCAACAAGCAUUAUGCUUGAAUUAAAUUGUGCAAGGUUCGUUUCUUUUGUUUGAUUCAAAAAAAAAACAACAAAAAAAAAACAAAAAAAAAGAAAAAAAAAGAAAAAAGAAAAAAAAAAGAAAAAAGAAAAUUUGAAAAAAAAAUCGAAAUAAAAAAUGUUUACAUUCUUGGUGACUUGAGUAGAAAUAAGCAUUUUGAUAUCAUAAGUUCAUUCAAUGAGUUCAUUCUUCUCGUUUUGAUCUCUUUUUCUUUCGUAAACCUUUCUUUUUCAUUUAACACAUUUAACCCCAUUACAACCCUUUUAAGACCCUUAGAUUUUUGCAUUUUAUUCAUGUUUUGUGGAUUGAGAUGUGAUAUAUGAGCAAGCUUAUGGUAAUAGCAUUCUUUGAUUUGAUUUGAGUGGAUAAAUGACACCCUAAACACUUUGAGUGCAUGGAGUGAAGUUAUUGAGAGGGCUAUUACAUCUUGUUGCACUUGAAUUUUGAACGAAUCUUCUUGGUGGUUGAAUGUUCUUAUUCUAUCUUAUGAAAUUCUAUGCUUUAAAAUCCUUGUCUCUCGAACGUUGAACGACUUAAUUUCUUGAGGUAUGCUUGCUUAAAAUUAUUUUUGGAUGAGUUGAGAUGAGAAUUUAGUGGAGAUUUGAGAUUAGUCUUGAGUUAUAUGCUUGAGGACAAGCAUCAUCUUGGUGUGGGGGAAUUUGUUAGAGUGCAAUUUAUGCACUAGUUUUGCAUUAUUUACUUCCCUUAAUAUCAAUGUUUUGCACUUAAUAAUAGUGAUUUACUUAUGUUUUACUUUUGUAGGUGCAAUUCUAUUGAUUGAUGAUAAAAUUGAGCUAUAAGAUGAUGUUUAAGGAUGAUUGUUCUCUUGGAGAAAUUAUGAGCGUCAGAAGAACUUUGUUGAUAAGGCGUGGGCGCGUGCUGUCAACUGCGGACCUGUAGUUUUUAGUUUAACGUGUUUUGUAUUUUUGGUUAUUUUUGUAAUUACGAAUUUAAUAUUUCAGAUAUUAGUAUUUUAUUUUAAAUAGAAUUCUAAAAGAGAGGAGAGAGAGAGUAUUUAAGGGAGGAAUCUAUUGUGAAAAGGGGGGAUUUUUGGAUUGGAGAAAAAGAAAGAAACCCUAGAUCUAAUUUUUCUCUUCUCUCUAUGAAGAACUAAACCUAUUUUUCUGGUUGAAGGAUAACGAAGCUUUGAUUCAUCACUACUGUGAGAUCUUUCUUGUGCUUUAAUUGUUUUAUUGCUUUUUGGAUAUUUGUUUAUUCUCUGUAUUAUUUUCAUGAUUAUGUUUGUUAAUUAGGUAAUUGGCCACUAUUUAAUUAUCAACUCAAUCUAUUGUCAAUUAAAGGAUUCAUCGUAUGAAGAAUUUAAUGUUUGUGACAAAUAACAUAGCAGAGAGUUGUGUUGUGAGAAUAAACAAUCUAAUUUAAAUGAAUCAUCAUAUGUGUUGAUUAGGAUUUGGGUCUCUCUGGUUUUUCAGGCUGUCAAUUGAUUAAAUUCUAUGAUCGUAUCUAGGGUUGUCUAUUGAUUAGGGAAAUAACCAACGGUCGUACCUUAGUUAUCGACUAGUUAAGGAGAGAUUGGCUAUUAGAGGGUCUCAGUAGCUAUAACCGGUCUAUUCAUAAGUAAUAAUAAUAAUCUAUAUUUGAAUCAAUGAUCAGUAGUCGAAUCAAGCUGAGUUAAUUCCUUCAACCAGAGCUUUCUCCAAUUUGAAUUACAACUUUAAUUUGCAUUCUUGUUAUUUUAAUUUGAUUUUUAUUAUUGUCAACAAUUCCCCCAUUUUACGUUUUACGUUUCAAAAGGAUUUAAAUAAUUACCGAUCUCUGUGGACACGACCCUGCUCAAUCACUAUACACAAUUUAUUUAGAGUAGGAAUUUAUUUUUGUUGGCUUCGACAACCAUCAAAUUUUGGCGCCGUUGCCGGGGAUUGGUGUCAUUUAUUUAAUCCUUUUUACGUUUUACUUGGUGUAUGGUUCGUUCUUCUCGUACAGGUACACUUUCGUUUGAUCCUGAAAUCGAGAAGACAGCUCGCCAGCUGAGACAGCAGACGAAGCGAGCUAAGCAACGAUCCUCGUCGCCUUUGCUUUCUGAAACAGAUACGGUGCCUGAUUUAGUUGAAUCAUCUAGCGAUUCAGAAGAACAGGUGAUGGAUAGACCUGCACCUGUAGAAAGAACUCUUAGAGAGUUAGCUGAACCAGACUUGAAUCAACAACCACUCUGCAUUCAAUAUGUAGACUUGGAGGUAAAUUUUGAAUUAAAG
rnacentral:lncRNA from 1 species